GACGAACGCUGGCGGCGUGCUUAACACAUGCAAGUCGAGCGGUAAGGCCCUUUCGGGGGUACGACGAGCGGCGAACGGGUGAGCAACACGUGGGUGACCUGCCCUCAGCUCUGGGAUAAGCCUGGGAAACCGGGUCUAAUACUGGAUAUGACUCCAUGACGCAUGUUGUGGGGUGGAAAGCCUUGUGCGGCUGAGGAUGGGCCCGCGGCCUAUCAGCUUGUUGGUGGGGNGAUGGCCUACCAAGGCGACGACGGUAGCCGGCCUGAGAGGGCGACCGGCCACACUGGGACUGAGACACGGCCCAGACUCCUACGGGAGGCAGCAGUGGGGAAUCUUGCGCAAUGGGCGAAAGCCUGACGCAGCGACGCCGCGUGAGGGAUGACGGCCUGGUGUAAC
rnacentral:rRNA from 1 species